rnacentral:rRNA from 1 species
UACGGAGGAUCCGAGCGUUAUCCGGAUUUAUUGGGUUUAAAGGGAGCGUAGGUGGAUUGUUAAGUCAGUUGUGAAAGUUUGCGGCUCAACCGUAAAAUUGCAGUUGAAACUGGCAGUCUUGAGUACAGUAGAGGUGGGCGGAAUUCGUGGUGUAGCGGUGAAAUGCUUAGAUAUCACGAAGAACUCCGAUUGCGAAGGCAGCUCACUGGACUGCAACUGACACUGAGGCUCGAAAGUGUGAGUAUCAAACAGG